rnacentral:rRNA from 1 species
AUACGUAGGGUGCGAGCGUUGUCCGGAAUUACUGGGCGUAAAGAGCUCGUAGGUGGUUUGUCGCGUCGUCUGUGAAAUUCCGGGGCUUCACUCCGGGCGUGCAGGCGAUACGGGCAUAACUUGAGUACUGUAGGGGAGACUGGAAUUCCUGGUGUAGCGGUGAAAUGCGCAGAUAUCAGGAGGAACACCGGUGGCGAAGGCGGGUCUCUGGGCAGUAACUGACGCUGAGGAGCGAAAGCAUGGGUAGCGAACAGGAUUAGAUACCCUGGUAGUCCAUGCCGUAAACGGUGGGCGCUAGGUGUCGGGGUCUUCCACGACUUCUGUGCCGUAGCUAACGCAUUAAGCGCCCCGCCUGGGGAGUACGGCCGCAAGGCUAAAACUCAAAGGAAUUGACGGGG